UACGAAGGGGGCUAGCGUUGCUCGGAAUUACUGGGCGUAAAGGGCGCGUAGGCGGAUAUUUAAGUCGGGGGUGAAAGCCCAGGGCUCAACCCUGGAAUUGCCUUCGAUACUGGAUAUCUUGAGUUCGGGAGAGGUGAGUGGAAUGCCGAGUGUAGAGGUGAAAUGCGUAGAUAUCGGUAGGAACACCAGUGGCGAAGGCGGUCUCCUGGGGCAUUCUUGACGCUGAGGCGCGAAAGCUGGGGGAGCAAACGGG
rnacentral:rRNA from 1 species